UCCUCCUACGGGACGCAGCAGUGAGGAAUAUUGGUCAAUGGGCGGGAGCCUGAACCAGCCAUGCCGCGUGAAGGCGAGUGCCCUACGGGCGUUAAACUUCUUUUGUGCGGGAGCAAUAAGGGCCACGUGUGGCCCGAUGAGAGUACCGCACGAAUAAGCAUCGGCCAACUCCGUGCCAGCAGCCGCGGUAAUACGGGGGAUGCGAGCGUUAUCCGGAUUUAUUGGGUUUAAAGGGUGCGUAGGCGGGCAUUUAAGCCGGCGGUCAAAUGUCGGGGCUCAACCCCGGCCUGCCGUCGGAACUGGGG
rnacentral:rRNA from 1 species